rnacentral:rRNA from 1 species
CAACAGUUGGAACGACUGCUAAUACCCAUAUGCUUCGAGUAAAUAGUUUUCUGCCUAAGGAAGAGCUCGCGGCUGAUUAGCUAGUUGGUAGGGUAAAGGCCUACCAAGGCGACGAUCAGUAUCUGGUUUGAGAGGACGAUCAGACACACUGGGACUGAGACACGGUCCAGACUCCUACGGGAGGCAGCAGUGGGGNAUUUUCCGCAAUGGGCGAAAGCCUGACGGAGCAAUACCGCGUGAGGGAUUAAGGCCUGUGGGUUGUAAACCUCUUUUUUCAGGGAGGAAGAUCUGACGUGUACCUGAAGNAUAAGCAU